GCAUCCAAAGCAGCAGGGCCAGCAGGUUGAUGGAGGGGAUUCUGCCUCUCUGCUCCACUCUGGUGAGCUGCCACCUGAAAUGCUGUGUCCAGUUCUUGAGUCCUUAGCACAGGAAAGACAUGGCCAUGAUGGAACAAGUCCAGAGUAGGCCACAGAAAUGAUCAAGUCAGCUGGAACACCUCUGCUGUGAAGAAGGAGUGAGAGAGUUGGAGUUGUUAAGCCUGGAAGACCUUAUUGGGGCUGUCCAGUACUUAAAGGGACUUGUAAGAAAGGGACAGUCCUAGUGUGAAGAGUUUCUUUCCUGCAGCAUGGAUUUUGCAAGCUGAAGCUGUCUCCCACGGCCUGAUCUAAGGAAGAAUCUGGGAGUCCUUUGGUUACCUUUGUUACCUGCACACAGAAGACACAGGAGGAUAAGGAGCAGGAGAGAGGUACUCCCUGUGCAGUGAUCCAGCUUUGUGGUGCAGGUCAAAUCUGUGGACAAGUUGACUCUUCGUGUCUGUAGACAAGAAAUAAACAAGAGCGAACAAGUUGAAUGUGAAAUCAGCUCUGCUGCGGAGUGCAAAGAACCAGUGACUGAGUGAUACUUUGAUGCCAUUAAGGUGUGCCUAUGGAUAUAGAAUAUGCUUUCCAUCAGUGGGUGUGGUGUCAUCUCCUCUGCCAAUGCAAACUGACACUGUACAAGCCCUUAUUCCAGUUCUCUAGGAAUCUCUUUAGACAAGGAACUGGAGAGAGGCCAUGAGGCUGGAAAUGAAGGUACUACAGGAGCGUUAAGUGCUCAGAAAUGACCACUUAAUCUACUGCAGUUGUGAGCGCUAGGAAAGUGCUUAUAUUCAACAAGAAGCUGCCAACAAUGUUAGUGCUCAGCAGAUUUCCUUCUUGUGAGAACUGCAAUAGAUCCACUGAUAAGAGAAUUUAUGCUUGAGCACGUAGCCCUGACUUAAGAGCAGGACAGCUGACCUUCAAAAGUAAAUACGAUUAAAGCUGAACAAAUCAGGUAAUUACAAUAAAAACACGACUUGACAAGCAGCCUCUGGACAGAAUUAGAGUUCUAUACGCAGCCUUCACAUUCAAUUAGGAUGAUGUGAAAUGGUAAAAAUAUUUGUUUUACUUUAGGUUUGUAUUUGUUGGGACACUCCAUUUCGAAACUGUAUUAGAGGUCUCUAGAAGAGGAAAAACAGUCCAACUUGAGUACUGCAUUCUCAUGGCUGUCACUGAAAAGGAUGUUAGCAAGGGAUUACUAGAGUUCCAGAAUUCAGCUUCUGAAUUCUGUUGCCACAUCUGCCACUGAGUCCAGUUUGGGAUUUUCCCAGUGCCUGCCCUCAGCAUCAGUGGUGACAGCAAUGUGAUUGCCAUCAGGGGGCUGCGUUUGGCAUUGGUUUGGAAAGGGGUGCAUAGAGAACAUCUGUCACUUGCCUGGUGGACAGCCCAACUCUAACUCUUGAGAAUAGGACAUCACCAAACCGGGAUCUUCAGAGGACCCAUCCACACAACUCUUGCAAUUUCCACUUGAAUAAAAAUGGAACAGCUUCUAUAGGGAGACAGAUAUACCCAGCACGCCUCUUUGCUUCUCUAACUGUAUGAUACUUAUUAUGACUAUUAUUCUCCUUCUGAAGCUGCAGUCCAUCCAGAAUAGUUUCAGAGACUU